UACGUAGGGUGCGAGCGUUGUCCGGAAUUAUUGGGCGUAAAGGGCUCGUAGGCGGUUUGUCGCGUCGGGAGUGAAAACACCGGGCUUAACUCGGUGCUUGCUUUCGAUACGGGCAGACUAGAGGCAUGCAGGGGAGAACGGAAUUCCUGGUGUAGCGGUGAAAUGCGCAGAUAUCAGGAAGAACACCCGUGGCGAAGGCGGCUUUCUGGGACGGUACUGACGCUGAGACGCGAAAGCGUGGGGAGCGAACAGG
rnacentral:rRNA from 1 species